AUGCGUAAUGUUAAAUUUUGCUUCUAUUGCUGGAAUGUCCGAGGCCUCGGCCAAUCGCAGAAAUGCUUUGAUGUUCUCUCAGAGCUUCUCGUCAUUAAUCCUCACGCCUGCUUUCUUCAGGAAACCAAGCUCAAUGACAUCCCCUGCCUCAAAUGCAAUAGCUUUCUCCCCCGGCACUUAGAUACUUCCUGCUUUCUACCCUCGAAUGGCUCAGCAGGGGGAAUGCUUACUGUCUUCUCCUCAGCCCACUUCACGGCUCUUGCUUCCAACUCCGGCCUAUACACCCAAACCUCUACAGUUUCUUGUCUUGCCUCUCCCCAAAAUCUAACCGUCACGAACGUCUACGCCCUGACUUACCACGCCCUAAAGCAAUCUUUUCUUCAGGAGCUCGCUAACUGUUCCCCGCCCGGCAGUCCCUGGCUAAUCCUAGGUGACUUUAACCUUCUUCGCCAUCCCUCUGAAAAGAACACGUCCGGGUUUCGCCAAAGUGAGGACGACUUGUUCAAUGACUUUAUCCACUCGUGCGCUCUCAUUGAGCUUCCCCUCCUGGAUCGUAGCUUUACCUGGUCUAGUAAGAGAGACAAGCCGACCCUUGAGAAAAUUGAUAGGGUUUUUAUCAACACUGAUUGGGACCUUCUCUUCCCUAACACCACCUUGGCGUCCCUUACUUGCUUCGUCUCUGAUCAU
rnacentral:rRNA from 1 species